GCCAGGCAUAGGGGCAUGUACCUGUAAUCCCAGCUACUGGGGAGGCUGAGGCAGGAAGAUUGGUUGAACCUGGGAGGCGGAGGUUGCAGUGAGCCGAGAUUGCGCCGCUGCGCGCCAGCUUGGGUGACAGAGCUGUCACCCAAGCUGGCGCGCAGCGGCGCAAUCUCGGCUCACUGCAAGCUCCGCCUCCCAGGUUCACGCCAUUCUCCUGCUUCAG
rnacentral:SRP_RNA from 2 species